AAGCAGGAGGUGUCAGAAAACUUACCAUAUGGAUAGCUGGCUUGUGGCGGCCAAGCGUUCAGAGCAACGUUGCUUUUUGAUCCUUCG
rnacentral:miRNA from 1 species